rnacentral:misc_RNA from 1 species
GUAUAGUAGUGCGUGUGCACAACAGUAAUUUCAUUACAUUCGAGUGUGUAAAAAUCCUCUACCAGCCGAAGCUAGCAAGAGGCCAAAGGUUCACAGGGGUAUUGGAUGAAAGCCACCAACGUGCACUUGCAAGAGCCAGCACCGAAGGCAACCAUUCGCAAUCAUUAAUGAUCCUUCCGCAGGUUCACCUACGGAAA